ensembl:lncRNA
UUCAAGGAUUUUUUUCACAAUAAGCUAGGCUACUCUGUCUCAUUGUCUUACAUGUUCUGCUUGUUUGGGUCUUCAACCACAUGAUGUUUGGUCCAGCUUUGCCAUUCAGGACAAUUGAGUCAAUAGGUUCAGAUAUCACACUAGGUUGCAAGUACUCAUUUGUGUUCAACCAGUCAACAUGUAUUCUUAAGUACCUAUGUUUAAGUACAUGGUAUGUAAACCUGCAUAGAACAUUUAAAUUGUUUAGUCUUGUGAAAUGUAUGUAAAUAUCUGUUAUUGCAUGGUAAGGCUCUUAUUGAUUGAGCUCUGUUUUGCACAGUUGGAAGAAAACAGCAACUUCUCAGAGGAACAAAAGGCAAAAAUUCUCUCGGUGACCCUCCCUUGGGAUCUCCCCGGUGUUACAGCAGAAAACAGAUGGUGGCUGACGGAGAAAAUUCUUCUUCACUCUGUACUGGGAAGAACAACUCAGCAGGUUAAACAAAUGAGGAGGGGUUUGAAAGACACCGGGGUCUGGGAUUUUUUUAGCUCCAGGCCAGACGCCAUCCCAGUCUUGUUCCCCAGGACCAGUGAUGUGAUGUUAACACCACAGAUGAUUCUGGACAAGAUUGUCUGGCCAAGGGAUGAGGAUGUUGAUGAGGAUAUACUCAGCUUGGAGGAACAACAAAAAGCACUA